UGUAUUUUAGUAUAAAAUGUACAGAGGAUUUUGAUUCCUUUAGAAAAUGGUUUAAUUCCUUUAAAUACAU
rnacentral:tRNA from 1 species